AGAAACAGAGCGUAGUGUUUCCGGUUUGAAAAGAACAGGAGUCAGCAUUGAGGCGACAUUACAUAACCUUACAAUAGUUAGGAAGCGCCUCAAUGCUAUCGCUGAGCAUUUCCAGGAACUGGACACCGCACUGUUUAGACACGGCAUUACGACCAUCUGGGAACACACCCGUAUCAAGGCCGCCAGGGAACAGCUUGAGGCCACGCGUCAUCAGAAGCAAAUAUCUAAUCUUCCGAGGGAAUGCGAGAUCUAACAAAAGCAAAUUCGCAACUGCAUUUUCGGGCAUCACCGGGCAAUCGGGCCACGUCCACGUUAUAAAGCCGGAACUCGACAUUUCGGCGCCGCACAUUGAGCGUGACCACCACGCAGUAGAGUAGCAUCUGCAAAUGCUUGGCCAGCAUCACGUAGAAGGCGCCCAUGUCGUCCGGGAAUAGGGCUUCGGCCCACGCGGAACAGUCGAACAGGAAGUAGCCACCAUCGCGGCUGGAGCUGUGCCCGAAGGAGAAGCGACGCUCCUGGCACUCCAGCAGGCCAAACUGAAAGCGCGUGAAGAAGUAGUUGAGGCCCUCUAGCGAACUCAUUUCUCUACUGGCUGGGGAGCCCGAAGGCCACCAGCUCAAGUUGCACCUGGCAUCGUCCACACCCGAAUGAAGGUCCCAACGCUCGCUCUGCUCCACGCUGGCGCGGAAGUAGCGGUUUCCAUUAACCACGAUGGCGUCCAGCAGCUUUCCGCUCCACUCGCCAAGGUGGCGGAAUGUACUGGCCACACAACAGGCCACCACGCAGCAUCCGAGCGUUUGAUGCCCACGCACCUUCCGGUCGAACCAAGGAGCCCUCGGAUGCAGUCCGCCCGACAGCGACCAGAGUCGUCCCGUCAGCUCCACGUCGAAGUUCUGGCUCCGAGCAGCGACGCAGUUGCGGCCCAGCCGCUGGCUCCAGAUCGGCAGACAGUUGGACGGCGUCAGCCAGGUCAUUGACUCGCUCCGCGCUGACAGCAAAGCAGUCUGCCCCAGCCGCCUUAAUAUGCCGCCGGUACUGGCACACUCCUCGCUGCAAAUUUUCCACAGUUUCCACAUUUUCCAGGUGCCACCUGUUUCCAUCGGGCAAGAUGUAAAACCUCGGCGUUAGCGUCGGAGGACCCUCCGAAACUAGGAUGUCUCGCACAAAGUUGUGGGUGCGCAUGCGCCGCAUUAUGGACGAUAAAUGCAAGGCGACUGUGAACUAUAAGGGCAUAAAGGGCAGCGAAAUAAGCAGGACAUUUCGGAAGGACUCCCCAGUACCCUCCUUAUGUCACGAAAAAAUGUAAGGUGUUGGAAGUGCUUAACGGACGAAAAUUUUGAACUGAACUUAAAGACAGAGCCUACCGUAGCAACUAACGAUUAAAGAAAUUGACUUCUAAGGAACAUUUGUUAGAAAUACCUACAAAAAGUAGAUUUGAGUUAUGCGGCUAUCAUAUACUGGUUAAUCAGCUUAAUGGAGUGGAGUGUUAGGGAAAUGGAGACAUGCGAGUAGGAACGCGGCUCUUCCCUGGAUUUUAUACGAACGCCACCUUGCCGCAGUUUCACACAACUUUUUGGGUUUCUUAAGAUGACUAAAUAAAUUUGUACUGUCAAGAAUAUCUCAAGAAUGCCUCUUCAGAUUUAGAGUGGGCGUGCAUUCGCAGUAUACUGCUGUGACUAUCAGAUACCAAUCAAAUAGUGCGAUAGAGAAAUAAUAUGCAAGCAGCAAAUCCAUUGUCUAGCAAUCAGAAUGGCGACAUUUCUAGCUCAUUACUAAUCAUAUUACAAAUAGUCCGAAUUGAUUAGACGCUUAUUAGAAGGAUUUUCAAAUAUUCCUUUUUUUGGUACUCAAAACAAAAUGUAUUCAUAGCAAUGGUAAUGUUAUGUACAUUACUUAUUGAGCGUUGUUCGGUCACUUUGCGAACAAUAUUUUUACAAAACUCUCUUUUAAUACUAAAUUUAAUAUAAAUAUGCCUAUCUACUAAUUUUAAUAAUUAAUUAAUUUUAAAAUUAAAUUUUCAUUUUCAAAAGCUGGUCAACAAACAAAACAAGAAAGAAAGCCAUAGUCGAGUUCCCCGACUAUCAGAUACCUGUUACUCAACUAGUGUGAAUGCGAACGCGAAAUUUCAUCAGAAAAAGGUUUAAAAAAUUUCCAAAGUGUGGGCGUGACCGAUUCGGCGGCAUUAGGGCGUUAGAGUAGGCGUAGCAAAAAGUUUUUUUUUGGCAAAUCAAUAGAAAUUUACAAUACUAAUAAAAUUAUGGCCGGUUUUAGAGUGUCUUAUUAUUC
ensembl:ncRNA asRNA:CR43426 antisense RNA:CR43426